rnacentral:rRNA from 1 species
GUGGGGAAUAUUGGACAAUGGGCGAAAGCCUGAUCCAGCCAUGCCGCGUGUGUGAAGAAGGUCUUCGGAUUGUAAAGCACUUUAAGUUGGGAGGAAGGGCAGUAAGUUAAUACCUUGCUGUUUUGACGUUACCGACAGAAUAAGCACCGGCUAACUUCGUGCCAGCAGCCGCGGUAAUACGAAGGGUGCAAGCGUUAAUCGGAUUUACUGGGCGUAAAGCGCGCGUAGGUGGUUUUGUAAGUUGGAGGUGAAAUCCCCGGGCUCAACCUGGGAACUGCCUCCAAAACUGCAUGACUAGAGGACGGUAGAGGGUAGUGGAAUUUCCUGUGUAGCGGUGAAAUGCGUAGAUAUAGGAAGGAACACCAGUGGCGAAGGCGACUACCUGGACUGAUACUGACACUGAGGUGCGAAAGCGUGGGGAGCAAACAGGAUUAGAAACCCGAGUAGUCC